CAGCAGCCACGGUAAUACGGAGGGUGCAAGCGUUAAUCGGAAUUACUGGGCGUAAAGCGCACGCAGGCGGUCUGACAAGUCAGAUGUGAAAUCCCCGGGCUUAACCUGGAAACUGCAUUUGAAACUGUCAGGCUGGAGUCUUGUAGAGGGGGGUAGAAUUCCAGGUGUAGCGGUGAAAUGCGUAGAGAUCUGGAGGAAUACCGGUGGCGAAGGCGGCCCCCUGGACAAAGACUGACGCUCAGGUGCGAAAGCGUGGGGAGCAAACAGGAUUAGAUACCCCGGUAGUCCCUGUCUCUUAUAC
rnacentral:rRNA from 1 species